UGGGUGUGGUGGUGGGGGGGUGGAGGAGAGGGGAAGGGGAAGUGGGGCAGGGGAUUGGUUGGGGUUGGGGAUGGGGACAUAUUCUUCAUUUCUUCCUAUCCUGGAAAUAAUUUUGCUGUAAAACACAGAACAAGUAAAAAAAUCAUCACUUUCCCCCACAUCAUAACAAAUUUAAAAAUUCAUAAUUUUUCAUUUUUAAAUAGAUUAGUUUUCAGUUGCAAUAGGAUCAGAAACAAAUGGAAUUUAAAUUGUUGUCAUCUUCAGAAGUAUAUUCAGAUGUUGAGAAAAGAGGUACAACAAUUAGAUGUAACAAUGUUUUUGAGAUUGUA
rnacentral:misc_RNA from 1 species